rnacentral:rRNA from 1 species
CGGCAUGCCUACCAUGCAAGUCGGACGGCAGCAGGUCCUUCGGGAUGCUGGAGAGUGGCGGACGGGUGAGGUAAUGCGUAGGAACCUAUCCUUUUGUGGGGGACAACCCAGGGAAACUUGGGCUAAUACCGCAUAAGCCCUGAGGGGGAAAGCGGGGGAUCUUCGGACCUCGUGCUGAAGGAGGGGCCUACGUCCGAUUAGCUAGUUGGUGGGGUAAAGGCCUACCAAGGCGACGAUCGGUAGCUGGUCUGAGAGGACGACCAGCCACACUGGGACUGAGACACGGCCCAGACUCCUACGGGAGGCAGCAGUGGGGAAUUUUUCGCAAUGGGGGCAACCCUGACGAAGCAAUGCCGCGUGGAUGAAGAAGGCCUUCGGGUUGUAAAGUCCUUUCGUGGGGGACGAAAAGGCGGAUCCGAAUACGGUCUGCUAUUGACGUGAACCCAAGAAGAAGCACCGGCUAACUCCGUGCCAGCAGCCGCGGCUAU